UCCGGUUUGGCACCGGCAGUCUCCCAUGAGUCCCCGACAUAACUCGCUGGCAACAUGGGAUAGGGGUCGCGCUCGUUGCGCCACUUAAGGCAACACCUCACGGCACGAGCUGACGACAGCCAUGCAGCACCUGUGCGGGCACCAAGGCACCUCUGCCAAGUUCCGGGCAUGUCAAGGGUAGGUAAGGUUCUUCGCGUUGCGUCGAAUUAAACCACAUGCUCCACCGCUUGUGCGGGCCCCCGUCAAUUCCUUUGAGUUUCAACCUUGCGGUCGUACUCCCCAGGCGGGGUACUUCCUGCGUUAGCGCCGGCACCCAGAGGGUCGCUCCCCCAGGCACCUAGUACCCAUCGUUUACGGCGUGGACUAC
rnacentral:misc_RNA from 1 species